CUGGCUCAGGACGAACGCUUUUGGCGUGCUUAACACAUGCAAGUCGAACGAUGAUGCCCAGCUUGCUGGGUGGAUUAGUGGCGAACGGGUGAGUAACACGUGAGUAACCUGCCCCUGACUCUGGGAUAAGCGUUGGAAACGACGUCUAAUACUGGAUAUGACUGCCGGCCGCAUGGUCUGGUGGUGGAAAGAUUUUUUGGUUGGGGAUGGACUCGCGGCCUAUCAGCUUGUUGGUGAGGUAAUGGCUCACCAAGGCGACGACGGGUAGCCGGCCUGAGAGGGUGACCGGCCACACUGGGACUGAGACACGGCCCAGACUCCUACGGGAGGCAGCAGUGGGGAAUAUUGCACAAUGGGCGAAAGCCUGAUGCAGCAACGCCGCGUGAGGGAUGACGGCCUUCGGGUUGUAAACCUCUUUUAGUAGGGAAGAAGCGAAAGUGACGGUACCUGCAGAAAAAGCACCGGCUAACUACGUGCCAGCAGCCGCGGUAAUACGUAGGGUGCAAGCGUUGUCCGGAAUUAUUGGGCGUAAAGAGCUCGUAGGCGGUUUGUCGCGUCUGCUGUGAAAUCCCGAGGCUCAACCUCGGGCUUGCAGUGGGUACGGGCAGACUAGAGUGCGGUAGGGGAGAUUGGAAUUCCUGGUGUAGCGGUGGAAUGCGCAGAUAUCAGGAGGAACACCGAUGGCGAAGGCAGAUCUCUGGGCCGUAACUGACGCUGAGGAGCGAAAGCGUGGGGAGCGAACAGGAUUAGAUACCCUGGUAGUCCACGCCGUAAACGUUGGGCGCUAGAUGUAGGGACCUUUCCACGGUUUCUGUGUCGUAGCUAACGCAUAAGCGCCCCGC
rnacentral:rRNA from 1 species